rnacentral:sRNA from 1 species
UUUGUAAUACCAAUUCGCCCGUCUACAAAAUGGCUUUCUAUAUUUGUACCUAUUCCCUUAUGCCUAAUUUUAGCGUACCAAAAUUCUAUUUUUGCACUGAUACGCAGAAAAGUAAACAAAUUUAAUCUGCACACUGAGAACAUCCCGGGGGAACGGUGGAAUUUUAUGACAGAUGUGAAGCCCCGAUUCACACUGGCACCAUCCACCAUCCAUCAAAAACAGCUGAUGACAAAGAAAAUAUCAUGGUAUUUGUGCGGAAGACUUGUGUUUUUGUUGUGAAAAUCGAUGAAAAUGUAUUAAUUUUUUCGGCUGCGGUUAACAGCAAAAUAUUGUCUUGCAUCACCUUAUAAUGUUGUUAAUAAUGGAUAAUGGAUAUAACUUUGGCGAGGAUGGGCUGCUUGACUGGGUUUCUAUCAUUUCGGUUCGGGACAUUUUUGGAGACAGAUGGCCUGAAAACAAGGAGGCGUUCCGCAAAGAGAGCAUAAGAAUGGAGAGACCAUGCUUUGCUGUUUUGGUGAGUCGCCAUUGCCCUGUACACUGUCGGGUCGUACUCUGAGUACCAAACAGUCGGUAGGUUUUUCGGCGUGGUACCAAACAGUGUGUGCAAAAUCCUGCAGGUGUUUUGAGACCACCCAUCCACGAAUUUUCUUAGGAAUACAUGUCGCCCAAUUAACUCACUUCCGACGAAGUUUAUGAGUGUGUUCAGGGAUUCCAGGAAAUGGGGUUUGGUUUCCAAGGUGCAAUUGAUGGACGCCACAUCGGAAUAAAUUCAGCAGAAGCUGAGCAGUCGACAACCACAACUACUACUACUUCGAACAUACAUAUGCUAGAGCCCUUUGCUAUGACUCGCAUGUUAUGGUAAAAAUUUCCUUAAUACUCACACCAAAAGCCGCAGCCAA